UUAGAAAUUUUGGAUUUAGAUUUUUUUUCUUUACCUGAUCAAGGUGAGGUUGUGUUCCUGGCACAUGCUGAAGUUUUUUCUGCAAACUUAUUCCAGAGAGACUAUCAAAGGCAUGAAGAUCUAAUACAUUAGAGAGAUCAACUCUUGAUCUUUGUGUUUCUAAGAUUUGUCCUAGUCCAUUUAUGGAUCUAAUUGUCGUUCUUAAUUUCUUUACAUCUUCUUCUGGAACCAAG
rnacentral:misc_RNA from 1 species